rnacentral:tRNA from 1 species
GGGCCCAUAGCUCAGCUGGUGAGAGCAGCCGGCUCAUAACCGGUUGGUCCUUGGUUCGAGUCCAAGUGGGCCCA